rnacentral:rRNA from 1 species
UAGGGAAUAUUGGUUAAUGUGCGAAAGCGCGAACCAGCAACGCCGCGUGUGCGAUGAAGGCCUUCGGGUCGUAAAGCACUUUUUGCAGGGAAGAGGAAGGACGGUACCUGCAGAAUAAGUCUCGGCUAACUACGUGCCAGCAGCCGCGGUAAAACGUAGGAGACGAGCGUUAUCCGGAUUUACUGGGCGUAAAGCGCGUGCAGGCGGCAUGGCAAGUUGGAUGUGAAAGCUCCCGGCUUAACUGGGAGAGGUCGUUCAAUACUGCCAGGCUUGAGAGUGGUAGAGGGAAGGGGGGGGGGGUGUGUAGUGGUGAAAUGCGUAGAUAUCCGGAGGAACACCAGUGGCGAAAGCGGCUUCCUGGCCCAUUUCUGACGCUCAGACGCGAAAGCUAGGGUAGCAAACGG